GAUGAACGCUGGCGGCGUGCCUAAUACAUGCAAGUCGAGCGGACAGACGAGGAGCUUGCUCCUCUGACGUUAGCGGCGGACGGGUGAGUAACACGUGGAUAACCUACCUAUAAGACUGGGAUAACUUCGGGAAACCGGAGCUAAUACCGGAUAAUAUAUUGAACCGCAUGGUUCAAUAGUGAAAGACGGUUUUGCUGUCACUUAUAGAUGGAUCCGCGCCGCAUUAGCUAGUUGGUAAGGUAACGGCUUACCAAGGCAACGAUGCGUAGCCGACCUGAGAGGGUGAUCAGCCACACUGGAACUGAGACACGGUCCAGACUCCUACGGGAGGCAGCAGUAGGGAAUCUUCCGCAAUGGGCGAAAGCCUGACGGAGCAACGCCGCGUGAGUGAUGAAGGUCUUCGGAUCGUAAAACUCUGUUAUUAGGGAAGAACAAAUGUGUAAGUAACUAUGCACGUCUUGACGGUACCUAAUCAGAAAGCCACGGCUAACUACGUG
rnacentral:rRNA from 1 species